AUUUCUAUUAUUAUUACAUUGUAAUAUAUAAUGAAAUAAUUAUACAACUCACCAUAAUGUAGAAUCAGUGGAAGCCCUGAGCUCGUUGUCGUGCAACUAGAUGGUCUCAUCUGGGGGUGAUGGGAGACAGUGACACACAAAGUGUGUUGCGAUCUCAAGCAGUUGAUCCUAUUCUAGCAUGGACAAAGUCAGUUCACCUGGCUUAGUCACAAAUGGGUUGUGGAUCUAUUCCUUUCCAGUUUGGGGAUCUUUUGUGGUUGGGAAGUAAUACUUCAACUCUUUUGAAAGCUGAGAUAGGUGAUCACGCACCAGCUGGGAGAAGGAAGGCCCUGGCUUAGUCUCUUUCAAAAUCUCUGCUAAUGUUUGAAACAUUUCAGAAAUCCCAAUGUUCACUCAUCGCCCUCAUAGUUCCAGUUUGGCUUUGAAUGCAGCCACUUUAUCUGCUGACUUGAACACAGUUGUCAUUCUCUCCCGAAAUGACAGAUUGAGUUUGUUGAGCAGGUUGAAUAUGUCACACAAUUGAGCAGGUUUUUUUUUUUUUGUUUGUUUGUUUUUUGAGAUGGAGUUUCGCUCUUGUUGCCCAGGCUGCAGUGCAGUGGUGUGAUCUUGGCUCACUGCAACCUCUGCCUCCCAGGUUCAAGUGGUUCUUCUGUCUCAGCCUCCCAAGUAGCUGGGAUUACAGGCACCCGCCACCACACCCAGCUAAUUUUUGUAUUUUUAGUAGAGACAGGGUUUCACCAUGUUGGCCAGGUUGGUCUCGAACUCCUGACCUCAGGUGAUCCACCCACCUUGGCCUCCCAAAGUGCUGGGAUUCCAGGCGUGAGCCACCAUGCCUGGCCAAGUGAGCAAGUUUUGUGACCCAUUGUGUGUCACUGAAAUAUGCUGCCACUGGUGACUGUUUUUCUAAGAGAAAUCUCUGGAGUGGUUCUUAUAACUCAAAAACUCUGGCCAGGGAUCUACCUUUAGAAAGCCAUCUCACUUCUGUGUGUAAGAGAAGAUGUGUGUGUUCUACAUCCAUCACCUCCCAGAGUUGCGUGAACAGGCGUGAGUUAAGGGCAUGUACUUUAACGUGGUUGAUAAUUUUAAUCACAUCCUGCAAAACGUUGUUAAGUUCAGGUGACAUUUUGCAGCUAGCCAGCAUUUCUCUAUGGAUGAUACACUGCAUAGACUCAACAUUCAAAAAUGACCUCUUUGACCCAAGUAGUGAAACCAGAAAGCUGUCCAGUCAUGGCAGUCACUCCAUCCUUGCAUAUACCAACACAAAAUGAUCAGUUCAGUUUUCCUGAUAUGUAUUCAUUCAAAGACGUGAAUAGUUCUGCAGCUGUGGUGUUGGUUGGCAACAGAAGUACAUGUAACAUAUUUUCAUGGAUAUCCUCCUGAAAAAUAUAUCACACAAAAACAAGCACUGUUGCCUUGUUGUCAACAUCGGUAGACUUGUCAAUCUGGAUUGCCUACCACGGUGACUCACUAAUCCUCUCUAACGAUUGUGCCUCAGGAUCCUCUGCUAUUUCCUCAAUUCAUCUAGUUAUGGUGCUAGCCAAAAGAGGAACACAUGCCACCCUUUGAACUGCAGCCUCUCUUGAAAGUUCAUGACAGUUGUCCUUAACAGCAAACAGGAUCACUCUUCACCAGUAUUAAAGGGUUUCUCAGCUUUAGCAAUGCCGUUAGCUACUAAGAAUGAUGCUCUCAGUGCAGACACAUUUGAUGAAGUGGUGGCCUUCAGUAAUUGCUUCUGUACUUGAUAUUCACAUUUUUUUCAUUUAAAGAACUCCAAAGGCUUGUGUUUUAACGCAGGGCGCUUGGUCUCCAUGUGGCGAAGCAGUGUUGAAGGUUUGAUGGCUUCGUUUGAUAGCUAGUCAUCAAAUAUUGUACAAAGUGGCUUGGAGAAUGUGAAUCACCUGUUGCAAUGAACUCAUAAUUUAAGUAGGACUCUUGGUAUUUUAAGUGUAGAUUUCUUUUUGUUGGCAGUCUUAGAGUCCCCUGCUGUUUCACCAUUGGGUCUUUUCCUGUUUUCAAAGAAGCUCUCCAGUAAUGUUUAUUUUUUACUCAUUUUUGCUAGAGUUAGCUUGUGGGCUUACCAAAACUGUGACUGAGACAAGUGCACAGUACAGGAAAGAGGCAUAGAUGGAAGUGGUAAAUAAAAUAAUGAUGGGCUACACAUGGACUAAAAUCAGUGUCAGAUUCUGACUUAAAGCCUUCCACCAGAUGCGGCUGUACCAUUGAUGUACAUCAACUCACUGUCACUAUAAAGCCUGCCACCAAAUGUAGCUUAAUUGUCACUUGCCACUUACUGAUAGGGUUUUGAUAUGAGUCUGCAAGCAAUUGAUUUAUUAUGGUCUCUGUGCAGUCAAACCUCUCUGCUGAUGUUAAUCUCUAUUUGCAGCCACUCACCAGCGCUAGCAUUACCACCUCAGCUCCACCUCAGAUCAUCAGGCAUUAGAUUCUCAUAAGGGGCACACAACCUAGAUCCCUUGCAUGCUCAGUUCACAGUAGGGUUCGUGCUCCCAUGAGAAUCUAAUGCCGCUGCUGAUCUGACAGGAGGUGGAGCUCAGGCAGUAAUGUGAGCCAUGGCGAACAGCUGUAAAUACAGAUGAAGCUUCGCUUGCGCUUGCUUGCCUGCUGCUCAUCUCCUCCUGUGUGGUGGCCCAGUUCCUAACAGGAACCAGGGUAUGGGGACCCCUGUUUUAGAGAAUCAGUUUCAGGGUCCCAGUAAUUUCCUUUUCCUCAAGUUUUCAUACUACAUUUUCAAGUUUUUCCAGGUGAGUAUCGUCAGACUUACUGGUUUCUAGCUUCUGAAAUCUACCCCUAACUACUUUAUGAAAAUCAGUACAUUUUCCUUUUACAAGAUCACUUUCAGAGGUUUUGUGAAUAAAUUCUUUCUUAUCUCUUGUUCCAGUUUUCUCUUAAUGUUUCCUUUCAAAAUAUAUUUUGUUCACUAGGGUAUUAGAAACUCGUAUUUAUGUAUUACUUUGAUGUGCAUGAUAUACAUUUUUCUCAGUGUUCCUCAUAACAACUUUGUGAAAUACACAAGGUUAUAGAUGAAGAAACUGAGGCUAAAAUAGGUUGUGAUUUGCUCAGUUAGAGACUAAUCCAGUGGUUGAUUUCUCAACCUCUCUUCUAAUAGAAAUCAAGUAUUUCUGCUUUCUCUUCAUCAUUGGUUGUUUUCUUUUUUUUUUUGGGAUGGAGUCUCACUCUUGCCCAGGCUGGAGUGCAGUGGCGUGAUCUUGGCUCACUGCAACCUCCAUCUCCCGGGUUCAGGUGAUUCUCCUGCCUCAGCCUCCUGAGUAGCUGGGAUUACAGGUGCGCACCACCAUGCCUGGCUAAGUUUUAUAUUUUUAGUAGAGCUGGGGUUUUGCCGUGUUAGCCAGGCUGGUCUUGAAUUUCCUGACCUCAGGUGAUCUGCCCAGUCAGCCUCCCAAAGUGCUGGGAUUACAGGCAUGAGCCACCAUGCCCAGCCCAUUUGUUGUUGUUAUACUCUUUUCCCCCAACCCUGAACCUCUCUGAGUUUCUUUCAUGUUACUCUGUGUAUAGCUUAAAACAAAACAAUAACAAAUAGAAAAAAACCUAACCCCACUUUUUUUUUCUUUGCCAUUUUUCACUGACAUCACCUCAUUUUUGGCUUUAGUCUUCCUGAUAACUGUUUUCUGGUUUUUUUUCUGGAGGCUUUUGGAGGCUCUUUAAGAGCUCAGCCUGGCUCUAGGACCAAGUCAUUGUUAGACUGCCUCGUUUUUAUUUAUGGUAUUCUGUAUCUUGAAAACAAAGGACAUGCUGAGUCUUUUCAAAGGAGCGUGGAAUCCAUGGAGCUGACUCUCAUUGUUACUGCUGAAAUAGUGACUGAAUGUACCACCAGCCUGAGAUUCAUGAAAUGUGCAUUAAAAUCGGUUUGGUAUGUUAGGUGAAAUGUAAAAACAUCAGUGUGCUUUAUCACCGAUCUGUUUUUGUCUGGUGUAAGAAAAAAUACGACAAGUAUGGGAUUGUUUAUAUGUCUUAUAAAGCCAACACUGGAGUGUAAAAAAUUGAGUGUUUGGGGAUACACAUUAAGUCAAAAAGAAACUAAUGCUGCCUGCUUUGACUGUGUUUGGGUCAGAAAUGGAGAAGUUGAAAUUGACAUGGCCAUUUGCUGAAAUAUUUUGAGGUGUUCAGACUAUAGUAGGAAUGCAGUCAUAAUGACUGGAUUUCAGAAAUGACACUAGAAGUCAUUUAUCUAUUUGCAUCCUAGAACAUCAACUUAAUGUGUGUCCAGGAAGAAAAUAAAUGAAGACUGAUUCAUGAACUGACUGUACUAUUUGUUAGAGCCAAGUAUGUUUGUGGUGCAUGAAAAUCUUUAUCAAGGAGCUUGGAUUUUCAUAACCAGUAAAGUUUUUGUUUUUUUUGAAUGUCUUGUAAUAUAUAAAAUUAUAGCUGGGAUAAAUGUAGUUUUUUUCACAAGGGAAAGAUUAAUGGUUUGGAUUUGUCAAAUUUUAUAGCCUAGCUAUUCAUCAUAAAAUGAAUCUGUAAUACUUACUUUCCAUUUUUUUUUUUUUGCUCACACACUACUUUGGAUGAUUUUAAUUGUAUAGUAUUUAAAAUUAAUUUUUAGAUCUUAGAUGAGUUGACCAGAGACUAGUGAUAAUACCAAGUAUGGAAUAGUCUAGGGAUAGAAAAGGAUAGAAUUUCAUGAUAACGCUAUAUAAUGUGUGUGCCAAAUUCAGCAUAUUGACCAGUGUUUUACAAAAUGAGUUUUUCAGAUCAUCUAUCUAAAAAUCACCUGGAAUGCUUGUUAAAAAUUCGGAUCCUUGGACCCUUCCUUCACCCAUCUCUCACCAAUCAGAAUAUCUGGGAGCUGCCUAGGAAUUGCAUUUAACAGGCACCCAGGCGGAAUGCAGUGGUACAGCCAUGGCUCAUUGCAGCCUCAACCUCCUGGGCUCAAUUGAUCCUCCUGCCUCAGCCUUCUGAGUAGCUGGGACUACAGGUCUUUGGAAUGGCAUCUCUUCAUAUGCAACGUAGAAUAUAUGCUUACUGUAUUAGUCCACUUUGUGUUGCUGUGAAGGAAUACCUGAGGCUGGGUAAUUUAUAAAGAGAAGAAGUUUAAUUGUCUCAGAGUUCUUCAGGCUGUACAGGAAAUGUGGUGCCGGCAUCUGCUUCUGGAGACCGAUGAUUAACAGCAAAAACAAUAGCCAACGCCAUAGACAUUUCAGCUGGUUCAUUUUACACAAUUCUGACUCUGCUCAGUGGGUGCCAAAACUGUUGCUCCCAGAUCAAUUGCAGACAAGAGCAGAGCUUUCACUGGAAAUUUCAAACAGGUGGGAUCAACAUUCUGAAGGAUUUCUUUGAAGAAUUUUAACAAUAAAUGAACAUGGUUUUACCAGUACAUCCUGAAGACAAAGUACAAUCAAAUCACUGGCUACCAAGAGUUGGAAGUGAGAGCAGAAGCAGACUGAUCAAGAACAAAGGUCAUGGCAACACUUUUUUUGGGAUACGCAAGGCAUUUUGCUCGUUGACUUUUGGGAGGGCCAAUGAAUGCCAACAUCUGCUUAUUGUAAGAGUAUUUUAAGAAAGUUAGCUAAAGCUUGAGCAGAAAAAUGCCUAGGAAAGCUUCACCAGAGAGUCCUUCUCCACCAUGAUAGUGCUCUUGCUCAUUCUUCUCAUCAAACAAGGUCAAUUUUGGGAUAGUUUUGAUGCACAUUUAUUAGGCAUCCACCCUACAGUCCUGAUUUGGCUCCUUCUGACUUUUUUAUUUCUUAAUCUUAAAACGUCUAUAAAGCGUAUCCAUUUUUCUUCAGUUAAAAAUGUAAAAAAGACUGCAUUGACAUGGUUAAUGCAGGACCCUCAGUUCUUUAAGGAUGGACUAAAUAUGUGUUAUUAUUGCCUACAGGUGUCUUGACCUUGAUGGAGCUUAUGUUGAGAAAUAAAGUUUAUACUUUCUAUUUUCA